AGCGAACGCUGGCGGCAGGCCUAACACAUGCAAGUCGAACGAACCUUUCGGGGUUAGUGGCGGACGGGUGAGUAACACGUGGGAACGUGCCUUUAGGUUCGGAAUAACUCAGGGAAACUUGUGCUAAUACCGAAUGUGCCCUUCGGGGGAAAGAUUAAUCGCCUUUAGAGCGGCCCGCGUCUGAUUAGCUAGUUGGUUGAGGUAAUGGCUCACCAAGGCGACGAUCAGUAGCUGGUCUGAGAGGAUGAUCAGCCACAUUGGGACUGAGACACGGCCCAAACUCCUACGGGAGGCAGCAGUGGGGAAUCUUGCGCAAUGGGCGAAAGCCUGACGCAGCCAUGCCGCGUGAAUGAUGAAGGUCUUAGGAUUGUAAAAUUCUUUCACCGGAGACGAUAAUGACGGUACCCGGAGAAGAAGCCCCGGCUAACUUCGUG
rnacentral:rRNA from 1 species